AGUGAACGCUGGCGGCAGGCCUAAUACAUGCAAGUCGAACGGCAGCACAGUGGAGCUUGCUCCAUGGGUGGCGAGUGGCGGGACGGGUGAGGAAUACAUGGGAAUCUGCCCAGUCGUGGGGGAUAACGUAUGGAAACGUACGCUAAUACCGCAUGCGCCCUUCGGGGGAAAGUCGGGGACCGCAAGGCCUGACGCGAUUGGAUGAGCCCAUGUUCGAUUAGCUAGUUGGCGGGGUAACGGCCCACCAAGGCGACGAUCGAUAGCUGGUCUGAGAGGAUGAUCAGCCACACUGGAACUGAGACACGGUCCAGACUCCUACGGGAGGCAGCAGUAGGAAGUAAUU
rnacentral:rRNA from 1 species